rnacentral:rRNA from 1 species
GAGUUUGAUCCUGGCUCAGGAUGAACGCUGGCGGCGUGCUUAACACAUGCAAGUCGAGCGAAACACUUAGAUUGAUUUCUUCGGAAUGAAAUCUAUUUGAUUGAGCGGCGGACGGGUGAGUAACGCGUGGGGAACCUGCCCUAUACCGGGGGAUAACAGUUAGAAAUGACUGCUAAUACCGCAUAAGCGCACAGUAUCGCAUGAUACAGUGUGAAAAGCUCCGGUGGUAUAGGAUGGACCCGCGUUAGAUUAGUUAGUUGGCAGGGUAACGGCCUACCAAGACGACGAUCUAUAGCCGGCCUGAGAGGGCGAUCGGCCACAUUGGGACUGGGACACGGCCCAAACUCCUACGGGAGGCAGCAGUGGGGAAUAUUGCACAAUGGGGGAAACCCUGAUGCAGCGACGCCGCGUGAGUGAAGAAGUAUUUCGGUAUGUAAAGCUCUAUCAGCAGGGAAGAAAAUGACGGUACCUGACUAAGAAGCCCCGGCUAACUACGUGCCAGCAGCCGCGGUAAUACGUAGGGGGCAAGCGUUAUCCGGAUUUACUGGGUGUAAAGGGAGCGUAGACGGUUUAGCAAGUCUGAAGUGAAAUCCCGGGGCUUAACCCCGGAGCUGCUUUGGAAACUGUUAGACUUGAGUGUCGGAGAGGUAAGUAGAAUUCCUAGUGUAGCGGUGAAUGCGUAGAUAUUAGGAGGAAUACCAGUGGCGAAGCGACUUACUGGACGAUAACUGACGUUGAGGCUCGAAAGCGUGGGGAGCAACAGGAUUAGAUACCCU